rnacentral:rRNA from 1 species
UACGUAGGUGGCGAGCGUUGUCCGGAUUUAUUGGGUUUAAAGGGCGCGUAGGCGGGCCGGAUAGUCAGGGGUGAAAGCCCCCAGCUCAACUGGGGAAGUGCCUCUGAUACUGCCGGCCUCGAGCGAGGUAGGGGCGCGCGGAACUUCCGGUGGAGCGGUGAAAUGCGUAGAUAUCGGGAGGAACACCUGCGGUGUAGACGGCUUACUGGACCAUAACUGACGCUGAGGCACGAAAGCGUGGGUAGCAAACAGG